AUAUCCUGUUGUACACUGGGUCUUCUAAUAAGCCCACAGACACCGUAUCAGGAUGCCUUCCAGUGCCACAAACCAGCAAAGCUAGUGUCUCCAGCAUGAGGUUAGUUCCCCCUCUGCAGGGGAACAGCUACAAACAUAGCUGUUCUUACCUUUCUUCUGUUUUUUCUUUCCUUUGAAAUAAAUUGUUAACUGAGAUUUUUGGAUGCUAACAGCACUGCCCUAUUUCUGUCCUUAAAGAAACCAAAGGAGGCUCCAUACUGGCAUUUCAGGGAACAGGGAGGAGUAAUGUGUGCUCUCAGCAAACCCUGCAUUACCCUCAGCAAGCAGGCUGAGCAAAGUGGUUUGAGAAGAAGGCAGCGUGUUUUCUAGAUUGCCCAGUUUCCAAGGCACAAACAGAGCCCAGUCUCCACUGGAGCCCUGCAGGACUACAGGAACGAGUAAAGCAUGGCAAUAGAAGUGAUGCUGUUGUUGCUGCUCUACAAAUGGUCAGUAAACAGACAGCGAGGCUAAGCGAUGCACCCCAGAUCAUGCAGAAGUCUAACGGAGCAAGGUACUGAACCCUGGUAAUAUAACAUUUCACUUCUACUCCCUUAUUACACUGCCAUCUUUCCUCCUGGGCCUGGAUGGCAGUUUUUAAACCCAUGACUGUUUCUUGCCUGUUGGCAUUUGGCUGAUCUGUCUCUUGAGCAUCAAUUCAGUCACUAAAAAGAAAAAAAAUCCCUUCUUCUCAUCUGCAAUUUACAUAAUUAAGUAACAGCUUACUGCCU
rnacentral:lncRNA from 1 species